rnacentral:rRNA from 1 species
CCUACGGGAGGCAGCAGUGGGGAAUAUUGCACAAUGGGCGCAAGCCUGAUGCAGCGACGCCGCGUGAGGGAUGACGGCCUUCGGGUUGUAAACCUCUUUCAGUAGGGAAGAAGCGAAAGUGACGGUACCUGCAGAAGAAGCGCCGGCUAACUACGUGCCAGCAGCCGCGGUAAUACGUAGGGCGCAAGCGUUAUCCGGAAUUAUUGGGCGUAAAGAGCUCGUAGGCGGUUUGUCGCGUCUGCCGUGAAAGUCCGGGGCUCAACUCCGGAUCUGCGGUGGGUACGGGCAGACUGGAGUGAUGUAGGGGAGACUGGAAUUCCUGGUGUAGCGGUGAAAUGCGCAGAUAUCAGGAGGAACACCGAUGGCGAAGGCAGGUCUCUGGGCAUUAACUGACGCUGAGGAGCGAAAGCAUGGGGAGCGAACAGGAUUAGAUACCCUGGUAGUCCAUGCCGUAAACGUUGGGCACUAGGUGUGGGGGACAUUCCACGUUUUCCGCGCCGUAGCUAACGCAUUAAGUGCCCGCCUGGGGAGUACGGCCGCAGGCUAAAACUCAAAGGAAUUGACGGCUGAGAGNGCGACGACGACGACGAGGGAGAGG